AGAGUUUGAUCAUGGCUCAGAAUCAACGCUGGCGGCGUGCCUAACACAUGCAAGUCGAACGAGAAAGUGGAGCAAUCCAUGAGUAAAGUGGCGCACGGGUGAGUAACACGUGACUAACCUACCCUUGAGUGGGGGAUAACCUAGGGAAACCUGGGCUAAUACCGCAUAACACCUACGGGUCAAAGGAGCAAUUCGCUUAAGGAGGGGGUCGCGGCAGAUUAGCUAGUUGGCGGGGUAAUGGCCCACCAAGGCGGUGAUCUGUAUCCGGCCUGAGAGGGCGCACGGACACACUGGAACUGAAACACGGUCCAGACUCCUACGGGAGGCAGCAGUGGGGAAUUUUGCGCAAUGGGGGAAACCCUGACGCAGCAACGCCGCGUGGAGGAUGAAGUCCCUUGGGACGUAAACUCCUUUCGACCGGGACGAUAAUGACGGUACCGGAAGAAGAAGCCCCGGCUAACUUCGUGCCAGCAGCCGCGGUAAUACGAGGGGGGCGAGCGUUGUUCGGAAUUAUUGGGCGUAAAGGGUGCGUAGGCGGUUCGGUAAGUUUUGUGUGAAAUCUUCGGGCUCAACUCGAAGCCUGCACAAAAUACUGCCGGGCUUGAGUGUGGGAGAGGUGAGUGGAAUUUCCGGUGUAGCGGUGAAAUGCGUAGAUAUCGGAAGGAACACCUGUGGCGAAAGCGGCUCACUGGACCAUAACUGACGCUGAUGCACGAAAGCUAGGGGAGCAAACAGGAUUAGAUACCCCGGUAGUCC
rnacentral:rRNA from 1 species